CUGAGCUAAAUCCCCAGCCCCAGUGAUGAUACUAGGAAUGUCUAAAAAUUCUACAACUGAGUUUCAAAAUACAUGAAGCAAGCCAGGCAUGGUGGCUGUGAUUCCAGCCUGUGAUCCCAGCGCUCUGGGAGGCUGAUGCUAGAGGAACACAAGUUCAAACCCAGCCUACACAACUUAGCGAGCCCCUGUCUCAAAAAGUAAAAAGGGUUGGGGAUGUAACUCAGCGCAGAGGCUCUGGUUCAAUCCCCAGUACCACAAAACAAAAACAGACAGGGACAAAAAAACCACAUUUGCCUAACAACAAUAUACUUUCCUCUAAAGUAGAUAUGCAACAUACACCAAGAUUGAGAAUAUCCUGGUUCUAAAGAAGGCCUUGUCAAAGUGAAAAGAAUUAAAAUCAUGUAGAGUAUGUUCUCUGGCCAUAAGGAAUUAAACUAUAAAUCAGUAGCAAAAAGUUUAAUGGCAAAUUUCCAACACUGGAAACUGACCAACACUCUUCUAAAUAAUCCAUGGGUCAAAGAGGAAGUCUCAAGGGGAGUUGGAAAAUAUUUUGAGCUGAACAGAAAUGAAAAUACAACAUAUCAAGGCCGUGGAAUGCAGCUAAAUUAGUGCUCAGAGGGAAAUUUAGGUCAUCAUAUGGUUAUAUUAGAAAAGAAGACAUCAACAAUCUAAGCUUCUACUGCAAGUAGAAGGAUACAAUAAAGAGCAGAAAUCAAUGAAAUAACAAUAGGAAUAAAACCAAUGAAAAAUGAAGGUAGUUCUAUGAAAAGAUCAUUAUAAAUGUUAAGGCUCUGGGGAAAGGUGGAGGGGGAGGGAGAGAGAGAGAGGAGAAGGGAAGGAGACUGAGAGAAGAGAGGAUUACUGACAUCAGGAAGGAAAGAAAGGCCAUCAUUAUAGGUGACAUUAUAAGGGUGAUGAGAAGAUAUUAUGGACAACUCUAUAUAAAUCCAGAAAUUUUGAUAAAAAUGGAUCUAUUUCUUGGAAAUCACAAAGUACCAAAACUCACCCAAGAGAAAUAGAUAAUAUGAAUCAUCUGGUAUCUAUUAAAGAAACUGAAUUCAUAGUUUAAAACAUUUUGAAAAAGAACUCUCUAGGCCCUGGUGACUUUAGUGGUGAUUCUUCUAAACCCUUAAAGAAUAAUACUUCUACACAAUCUCUUCCAGAAAAUCAAACCUGAAUAGCAAGAACCUAGUAUCAAAAUCAGACAAAGACAGUGUAAGAAAACUACAGACGAACAUUUUCCAGACAUAAAAAUCCACAAACAUUAGCAAAUCAACCCCAGCAACAGGAUGCCUUCAACUGAUGUAAUCUUGCCCUUGAGCAUCACAGCAUCACCGGACCAUUGAGGCCUCAGCUCUGACUAGAGAAUGGCUCCUGACAAAGUCUGAACCCAGCGUGGGCAAAUUGAGGAUUUAGAGACCUCGUCUCAAAAUGAAAAAUAAAAGAGGAUAAGGCUAGAGUUAGUGCUAAGGUCCUUAGUUUUAUCCCCAGUACUAGGGGAAAAAGGAAGGCAGAAAACUUGGACAUUUUGCCAAAAAGGAAGCACAGCAAGUAAGCUGGUGAGAAGAUGCUCAACACCAUUAAGCCACAAUCAGCCAUAUGCAUUGUUAGUGCACGUAGACAUGAGCACUGUUUAAGGUGCUAUGCUUUAUGUGCAAAAAAGCUGGCCCUCAGGUUCAGUAGUAGAGCCCUUGCCUAGCAUAUACAAGGCCUUGGCUUGGGUCCUCAGCACUGCACCCCUCAACACCAAAACAAAAAUAGAUAAAGAAAAAGGCUGGAGCUUAGCACAGACUGCCGGGUGACAGAGAGUGCUGAACAGCUCGGCAAGAUUUCUGCUCAGCGGUUGCCACGUUUCUGCAAAAGAAUGGGUAGAACACAGAGUGUUCAUCCAGGCACAGCAAGUGUACAAGACACAAUCAGAUGGUCUCACAGGAUGUUGGUGCUGGCAGAGAGCUAGGAGAUGCACUCGUGCACCCAGGAGCGGCGUAAGCUGCUAGAGGGAGGGAGGCACAGGCCGCCACCUCGGCACUUGGGCCGGACCUGGGCCCUGACAGCCACUGCUGGUGGCUGGAGUCUGAGUUUCAUGUUCUCCAUUUUCCACUGGGAAGAUUUGACUCUUUAUGCCAAAGUGGGUGAAAAUAAAGUACUGCUCCAUUGAAAAAGGAAAACAAACCAUCCCAAGUGGGCUGGGGAUGUAGCUCAGGGAUAGAGUAUGCACUUACCAUGGAUGCGGCCCUGGGUUCAGUCCCAGCCCCACCAAAAAGAAAAACCCGUGAGCUACUGCUUCAGGGCUACUAGAAAAGCUAAAAUCAACACUGAAAGUAUGGAGUCCUGAGGAUACAGCCACUGCUGCCGGAAACGUCCAGCUUAUUUUUUUGGUACCAGGGAUCGAACUUGGGUCCUUGCGCUUGUGCAGCAGGGGGCGAAACCACUGAGCUAAAUCCCCAGCCCAACAUCCAGCUUGCAUGGGUGGCACAUUCUAGACCACAGUGUGGCUCUUCUUAUAAAUCCCAUCUUGCUAUUUGCCCGAGAAGUGAAAGCAUAUGUCCACACAGAAACCACCACAGCUCUGCUCAUUAUCACACCUUGGAAACCAGCCAAAUUGUGGAAUGGCCACAGCAUGGAAUACUGCAGAGCAAGGAGGAGGAUACAGUCAGCAGCCUGCGAGACCCUCACAGGCAUUAUG